GAUGAACGCUAGCGGCAGGCCUAAUACAUGCAAGUCGAGGGGUAGAGGAGAGCUUGCUUUCCUUGAGACCGGCGCACGGGUGCGUAACGCGUAUGCAACCUACCUUUAUCUGGGGGAUAGCCCGGAGAAAUCCGGAUUAACACCGCAUAAAAUCACAGUACGGCAUCGUACAAUGAUCAAAUAUUUAUAGGAUAGAGAUGGGCAUGCGUGUCAUUAGUUAGUUGGCGGGGUAACGGCCCACCAAGACCACGAUGACUAGGGGAUCUGAGAGGAUGACCCCCCACACUGGUACUGAGACACGGACCAGACUCCUACGGGAGGCAGCAGUAAGGAAUAUUGGUCAAUGGAGGCAACUCUGAACCAGCCAUGCCGCGUGCAGGAAGACGGCCCUCUGGGUUGUAAACUGCUUUUAUUCGGGAAUAAACCUGCUUACGUGUAAGUAGCUGAAUGUACCGAAGGAAUAAGGAUCGGCUAACUCCGUGCCAGCAGUCGCCGUAACAC
rnacentral:rRNA from 1 species